UUUUUUCUUACAAACAUGUGGGACGGCGAUGGGGACGAUCUUUGGCCCAAGUUUUUGCGAACCUACUGUUGGGAAGAGGAAAGUGUAUAAACCAACAAUCCAUUCCGGAAGAACUUGAAGAUGUACAAGAGAUCACGGAUUAAAUAUGGAAUCAAUACUCCAGCAGCGCUUGGACAAUUAUAAUGAACUGCCUGAGAAUGGAUUUUUAUAUGACUGGCACUUUUAAAAUGACUUUUGAGUUGAGAUUGGACCAGUACAAAAUCAAUACUGUAAUAGACUCUUCUUCUAUCUAAGACUUAUGUUUUUCUGUAUUAAUUCAUUAUGUAUUCUGGAUUUGCGAUCAGCAUUUGUUCUCUGGAGCCGGAAGAAAGCAUGCGUUCCACAACUCUACUUCCGCGUUCCACGAUCUGCACUAGGACUUCAGAACAGGAAAUGCGUUCCAGCUAGCUGACAGGAAGCGCGUCUUGCGUGCCAGCACCGCCCAGCGCAUAGGUGCACUUGUAAUUGUUAUUUAACUGCUAUUUUCAUAAAUAUGGCUUGUGAUUGUACUGCAUGAUGUUUUAGUUUUAAUUUUAAAUUCGUCUGGUAGCUUUGCAUACUCCUGUCGCGUCCGGGACCGGAAGUGACGUCAGUAUGCCUUCCAUAUGCGUUUCAAUAGGUUUUUUGUUGCUUAUAUUCAGACGGGCGAGUUUUGCCCUGUUCUUUUAAUAAGAUAAGGUCUAUUCCUAGUUAUUAUACUCCCUUUCUUCUACUCUAUCUUUAUAAAUAAAGAGUUUUGAUGUAGUUUAAUCAUUUCCUGUCACAUAAUGACAGGAAGUGAGGUCAUGAUGUUUGUCCCACAUGUCUCCACCAUCUUAAGUGCCAGAGGUAUAAAUUCAUCUCAAUACCUCUGGGACAUUAUCUCCAUGAUGAAUCUUGCCUUAAAGAUGAAACGCGUCGGAGGUUACCCUGGACACUAAUUGUUUCUUGUACGUGUGAUACCUGCUCAUUUUUAACUAUGUACUAAUUAAAUGUGAAACUUUCUUUCUACCACAA